rnacentral:sRNA from 1 species
GCUGGGUAUGGUGGUGCACACCUGUAAUCCAGGUUGCUCAGGAGGUUGAGGCAGGAGAAUUGCAAGUUUGAGGCCAGCCUCAGCAAUUUAGCAAGGCAAUAAGCAACUUUGCAAGACCCUGUCUCAA